UACGUAGGGUGCAAGCGUUAUCCGGAUUUAUUGGGCGUAAAGGGCUCGUAGGCGGUUCGUCGCGUCCGGUGUGAAAGUCCAUCGCUUAACGGUGGAUCCGCGCCGGGUACGGGCGGGCUUGAGUGCGGUAGGGGAGUCUGGAAUUCCCGGUGUAACGGUGGAAUGUGUAGAUAUCGGGAAGAACACCAAUGGCGAAGGCAGGUCUCUGGGCCGUUACUGACGCUGAGGAGCGAAAGCGUGGGGAGCGAACAGG
rnacentral:rRNA from 1 species